UGUGAAAUCCCCGGGCUCAACUUGGGAACUGCAUUGGUGACUGGCAGGCUAGAGUAUGGCAGAGGGGGGUAGAAUUCCACGUGUAGCAGUGAAAUGCGUAGAGAUGUGGAGGAAUACCGAUGGCGAAGGCAGCCCCCUGGGCCAAUACUGACGCUCAUGCACGAAAGCGUGGGGAGCAAACAGGAUUAGAUACCCUGGUAGUCCACGCCCUAAACGAUGUCAACUAGUUGUUGGGGAUUCAUUUCCUUAGUAACGUAGCUAACGCGUGAAGUUGACCGCCUGGGGAGUACGGUCGCAAGAUUAAAACUCAAAGGAAUUGACGGGGACCCGCACAAGCGGUGGAUGAUGUGGAUUAAUUCGAUGCAACGCGAAAAACCUUACCUACCCUUGACAUGGUCGGAAUCCUGCUGAGAGGCGGGAGUGCUCGAAAGAGAACCGGCGC
rnacentral:rRNA from 1 species